UACGUAGGGUGCGAGCGUUGUCCGGAAUUAUUGGGCGUAAAGCGCUCGUAGGCGGUCCGUUAGGUCGGGAGUUAAAUCCAGGGGCUCAACCCCGGCACGCUCCCGAUACCGGCGGACUUGAGUUUGGUAGGGGAAGGUGGAAUUCCCAGUGUAGCGGUGGAAUGCGCAGAUAUUGGGAAGAACACCGGUGGCGAAGGCGGCCUUCUGGGCCAUAACUGACGCUGAGGAGCGAAAGCUAGGGGAGCAAACAGGAUUAGAUACCCUGGUAGUCCCUGAGCGGGCUGGCAA
rnacentral:rRNA from 1 species